CCCUAGAAAACAAGACAUGCAAACA
rnacentral:piRNA from 1 species